rnacentral:rRNA from 1 species
UACGUAGGUGGCAAGCGUUGUCCGGAUUUACUGGGCGUAAAGAGCGCGCAGGCGGUCGUUCAAGUCGCGUGUGAAAGCCCCCGGCUCAACUGGGGAGGGUCACGCGAUACUGAUCGACUCGAAGGCAGGAGAGGGUAGUGGAAUUCCCGGUGUAGCGGUGAAAUGCGCAGAUAUCGGGAGGAACACCAAUGGCGAAGGCAGCUCGCUGGGACGUUACUGACGCUGAGACGCGAAAGCGUGGGGAGCAAACAGG